AUCUUUUUAAUUUUACUUUCAAAUCCACCUUCAAUUAAUUUUCAUAUUAAUAUCCAUUUAAAUAAUUUUAUUGUAAUUCAUUUCUACUUAAACAUAAGCUACACCUUGAUCUGAAAUAAAUUUUUAUAAAAAUUCAAGAAAAUUAUUAUUCUUUUAAAAUAUUCUGAUAACGACGGUAUAUAAACUGAUAACAAAUCUAAGUAAGGUCCAACGCGGAUUAUCAAUUAUAGAACAAAUUCCUCUGAAUAGACUAAAAUACCGCCAAAUUUUUUAAGUUUCAAGAACAUAUCUAUUAC
rnacentral:rRNA from 2 species